rnacentral:lncRNA from 1 species
CUAAGUCGCCCUUGCGGGUUUUCGACUUACCGGGUGUACAAAUUCUUUUCAUUUAUAUCCCUAAUUUUUGCCCGAACCUUUUCUUUCUGUUUUUUGGUUCGCCGGGAUGCCCCCUUUUUGCCUGGACUCUUUUAUUCCUUUUGUCCAGCGGGUCUAUUUAUGCGAAGUAUUUUUUGACUACAUCUGAGUUAACAGGGGACGGAAAAU